rnacentral:rRNA from 1 species
GAUGAACGCUGGCGGCGUGCCUAAUACAUGCAAGUCGAGCGAACAGACGAUGAUCUUGCUCCUCUGACGUUAGCGGCGGACGGGUGAGUCACACGUGGAUAACCUACCUAUAAGACUGGGAUAACUUCGGGAAACCGGAGCUCAUACCGGAUAAUAUAUUGAACCGCAUGGUUCAAUAGUGAAAGACGGUUUUGCUGUCACUUCUAGAUGUAUCCGCUCCGCAUUAGCUAGUUGGUAAGGUAACGGCUUACCAAGGCGACGAUGCGUAGCCGACCUGAGAGGGUGAUCGGCCACACUGGAACUGAGACACGGUCCAGACUCCUACGGGAGGCAGCAGUAGGGAAUCUUCCGCAAUGGGCGAAAGCCUGACGGAGCAACGCCGCGUGAGUGAUGAAGGUCUUCGGAUCGUAAAACUCUGUUAUUAGGGAAGAACAAAUGUGUAAGUAACUGUGCACGUCUUGACGGUACCUAAUCAGAAAGCCACGGCUAACUACGUG